rnacentral:sRNA from 1 species
GUCCAGGCGCCUGCGAACCCGGGCCGGGGGGGACGGCGCCCGCCAGGAGCGCCCCCCACUCCCAGGCCAGCCCAUCCCGGCGGACCGGGCCCCGCGCGCCCAGGCGAGGCCUACUUGGAUGAUUGUCACCGGAGGUAUAGCUGUGCCCACUGCCGCGCUCACCUGGCCAACCACGACGACCUCAUCUCCAAGUCCUUCCAGGGCAGUCAGGGGCGUGCCUACCUCUUCAACUCUGUGACCCUCCCUGGGACUGCCCCAUGUCCCCACAGGGUGAACGUGGGCUGCGGGCCAGCCGAGGAGCGGGUGCUGCUGACCGGCCUCCAUGCUGUCGCCGACAUCCACUGCGAGAACUGCAAGACCACUUUGGGCUGGAAAUAUGAACAGGCCUUUGAGAGCAGCCAGAAGUACAAAGAGGGGAAGUACAUCAUUGAACUCAACCAUAUGAUCAAAGACAACGGCUGGGACUGACCCCCGCUCCCCCGACGCAUGUGGCUCCAGCCCGGCCUGGCCGCCAGGGAGCGCCACCGGCUUCCCGCCGCCCGAAGGGAGCUCUGGACCCUCAGGGCCCCUGCAGAGGACGGAGCUAGCUCCUGUAUAUAUAUUUUAUUGCAUGCACUGUGACCUUGGGGGGAGAACAGAAGGGGGACGACGCCCCCGCACCUCCUGCGAUCUGGCUGGCUUGGAUCUCGUUUUUAACCCGUUCCUGCCCCACCUGUCCUAUAGUUAUGGCCUGUGUUCUGCUCUCCUGGCCCCAGUACACCGUCUGCUCUGUGAACUCCCACCAGGCCCUUCUUACCCCACGCGUGUCUGUCCCCCUCGUUCUGUAGCGUUUGUACAUAAUAAAACAAUGGAGUGGAGACA